rfam:Candidatus Omnitrophica bacterium 4484_171 ex4484_171_scaffold_2777, whole genome shotgun sequence.
GCCGAGGUGGCGGAAUUGGCAUACGCGCCGGUCUCAAAAACCGGUGGGGGUAACCUCGUGCGGGUUCAAGUCCCGCCCUCGGCA